UGUGUUGGAUAUUACUAGCAUUCAUGCACUAGAUUUCAUCAGAACUAGCAGUUAAAUAUAUUUGGAUGAGAUUAGUAUUAGGAUGAGUGAUCUUUUAGGAAGUCAUCUCUUUAAAAUGU
rfam:Lupinus angustifolius cultivar Tanjil chromosome LG17, whole genome shotgun sequence.